UACGAAGGGUGCAAGCGUUAAUCGGAAUUACUGGGCGUAAAGCGUGCGUAGGUGGUCUUUUAAGUCCGUUGUGAAAGCCCUGGGCUCAACCUGGGAAUGGCAGUGGAUACUGGAAGGCUGGAGUACGGUAGAGGAGGGUGGAAUUCCUGGUGUAGCGGUGAAAUGCGCAGAUAUCAGGAGGAACACCGGUGGCGAAGGCGGGUCUCUGGGCCGAUACUGACGCUGAGGAGCGAAAGCGUGGGGAGCGAACAGG
rnacentral:rRNA from 1 species